rnacentral:rRNA from 1 species
UGCUAAUACCGCAUAAGCGCACAGUACCGCAUGGUACGGUGUGAAAAACUCCGGUGGUAUGAGAUGGACCCGCGUCUGAUUAGGUAGUUGGUGGGGUAACGGCCUACCAAGCCGACGAUCAGUAGCCGACCUGAGAGGGUGACCGGCCACAUUGGGACUGAGACACGGCCCAAACUCCUACGGGGAGGCAGCAUG